UACGUAGGUGGCGAGCGUUGUCCGGAUUUAUUGGGUUUAAAGGGUGCGUAGGCGGUUCUAUAAGUCAGUGGUGAAAUCCGGCAGCUCAACUGUCGAUGUGCCAUUGAUACUGCAGAACUUGAGUACAGACGAGGUAGGCGGAAUUGACGGUGUAGCGGUGAAAUGCUUAGAUAUCGUCAAGAACACCGAUAGCGAAGGCAGCUUACUAGACUGUAACUGACGCUGAUGCACGAAAGCGUGGGGAGCAAACGGG
rnacentral:rRNA from 1 species